rnacentral:rRNA from 1 species
CAAUCCAUGAGUAAAGUGGCGUACGGGUGAGUAACACGUGGGUAAUCUACCUUCUGGUGGGGAAUAACAUUGGGAAACCGAUGCUAAUACCGCAUAACCCCGCAAGGGAAAAGGGGAAAUUCGCCGGAAGAGGAGCCCGCGGCUGAUUAGCUAGUUGGUAGGGUAACGGCCUACCAAGGCAAUGAUCGGUAGCCGGCCUGAGAGGGCACACGGCCACACUGGCACUGAAACACGGGCCAG